rnacentral:rRNA from 1 species
AACGAACGCUGGCGGCAGGCUUAACACAUGCAAGUCGAACGCCCCGCAAGGGGGGUUGCAGACGGGUGAGUAACGCGUGGGAACAUACCCUUUUGUACGUAAUAGCCCUGGGAAACUGGGAUUACUACCGUAUACGCCCUACGGUGGAAAGGUUUAUCGGGGAAGGAUUGGCCCGCGUUGGAUUGGCUAGUUGGUAGGGUAAAGGCCUACCAACGCGACGGUCCAUAGCUGUUCUGAGAGAAUGAGCAGCCACAUUGGGAGUGAGACACGGCCCAAACUCCUACGGGAGGCAGCAGUGGGGAAUAUUGGACAAUGGGCGCAAGCCUGAUCCAGCCAUGCCGCGUGAGUGAUGAAGGCAGUAGGGUUGUAAAGCUCUUUCAACGAUGAAGAUAAUGACGGUAGUCGGAGAAGAAGCCCCGGCUAACUUCGUG